rnacentral:rRNA from 1 species
UAAUACCGCAUAGUAUCUGUGGAUUAAAGGUGGCUUUUGGGCUGUCGCAGAUGGAUGAGCCUGCGUUGGAUUAGCUAGUUGGUGGGGUAAGGGCCUACCAAGGCUACGAUCCAUAGCUGAUUUGAGAGGAUGAUCAGCCACAUUGGGACUGAGACACGGCCCAAACUCCUACGGGAGGCAGCAGUGAGGAAUAUUGGACAAUGGGGGCAACCCUGAUCCAGCAAUGCCAUGUGUGUGAAGAAGGCCUUAGGGUUGUAAAGCACUUUAGUUGGGGAAGAAAGCUUUGAGGUUAAUAGCCUUGAGGAAGGACGUUACCCAAAGAAUAAGCACCGGCUAACUCCGUGCCAGCAGCCGCGGUAAUACGGGGGGUGCAAGCGUUAAUCGGAAUUACUGGGCGUAAAGGGUCUGUAGGUGGUUUGUUAAGUCAGAUGUGAAAGCCCAGGGCUCAACCUUGGAACCGCAUUUGAUACUGGCAAACUAGAGUACGGUAGAGGAAUGGGGAAUUUCUGGUGUAGCGGUGAAAUGCGUAGAGAUCAGAAGGAACACCAAUGGCGAAGGCAACAUUCUGGACCGAUACUGACACUGAGGGACGAAAGCGUGGGGAUCAAACAGGAUUAGAUACCCUGGUAGUCCACGCUGUAAACGAUGAGUACUAGCUGUUGGAGUCGGUGUAAAGGCUCUAGUGGCGCAGCUAACGCGAUAAGUACUCCGCCUGGGGACUACGGCCGCAAGGCUAAAACUCAAAGGAAUUGACGGGGACCCGCACAAGCGGUGGAGCAUGUGGUUUAAUUCGAUGCAACGCGAAGAACCUUACCUGGUCUUGACAUCCUGCGAGCUUUCUAGAGAUAGAUUGGUGCCUUCGGGAACGCAGUGACAGGUGCUGCACGGCUGUCGUCAGCUCGUGUUGUGAAAUGUUGGGUUAAGUCCCGCAACGAGCGCAACCCCUAUUGAUAGUUACCAUCAUUAAGUUGGGUACUCUAUUGAGACUGCCGCUGACAAGGCGGAGGAAGGUGGGGACGACGUCAAGUCAUCAUGGCCCUUACGACCAGGGCUACACACGUGCUACAAUGGGUAUUAUAGAGGGCUGCGAAGGAGCGAUCU